rnacentral:rRNA from 1 species
UGGCGAACGGGUGAGUAAUACAUAAGCAACCUGCCUUAAUGCCUGGGAUAACAGUUGGAAACGAUUGCUAAUACCGGAUAAUUUCUUGAUAGACAUCUAUUAAGAAUAAAAGUUGGGAUACAACACAUUGAGAUGGGCUUAUGGCGCAUUAGUUAGUUGGUGAGGUAACGGCUCACCAAGACGAUGAUGCGUAGCCGACCUGAGAGGGUGACCGGCCACACUGGGACUGAGACACGGCCCAGACUCCUACGGGAGGCAGCAGUAGGGAAUUUUCGGCAAUGGGGGAAACCCUGACCGAGCAACGCCGCGUGAGUGAAGAAGGCCUUCGGGUCGUAAAGCUCUGUUGUAAGGGAAGAACAGUUGGGAGAGGGAAUGCUCUCAACCUGACGGUACCUUACCAGAAAGUGACGGCUAACUACGUGCCAGCAGCCGCGGUAAUACGUAGGUCACAAGCGUUAUCCGGAAUUAUUGGGCGUA